UAGAAUUCCAAUCAACAUUCCUCAGAGCAUCCAGCUUUCUUUCACCGUCCUCUUUCUCAAAGUCAAAACACUUCUAGUACACAGCAUUCUCUCAUGAGAAUUUUGAGCUCCAUGAUAAGCUGGUAGCUUUUGGUCCAUGUACAUGAACUUAGAAGAGUACUUCUGAGGAAAGAUAAGGCACACUGCUCCCACAAUACCCAAGCUCUCUAGGUCUGUGGAAUACAAAAGGAGAGUGAAAGACCUGGACUGACUUCUCCCUCAUGACAACUUUUUUUCAUUCAGUGCAUGAAUGCAUCUCUACAUCAGCCCUUGGGUACACAGGAGAUGGUCUUCCACUACUGCAUGGACAAAAUUCAUCAGGUUCCUCAUUCUGUCACAGUCCUAGAAGCUUUAUUGAAUUGAGGUAUUCCAAGAAAUGAAGCAACCACAAAAUUGGUGUUGAAGUCACUGAGCUGACGGUGUGGAGACUAUCAAGAGACUGGUGAUGGGAAACUUCUGCACUGGCAUGAAAGGAACAUUCUCAUUCAAUCUUAAGAGAGAUAAUGGAAAACAAUGACAGUGAAAGCUGGUUUAUCUCACUCACCCUCUUUAGUGGUAAAUUUUUAAACCAAAAUAUAGAUUGUGCUAGAGAAAGGAUUUUCCAUGUAGGAAGGGUUUAUAAUAGGAUUUUACUUAUUUUAAUUAUUAUAUCAAUACUUUUACAGAAGGGUUAUUCAGUUAUAGAGUUUAAUUUAUCAGCAAACAUCUGUUUUGAGGUAUUCAUAACGUUCAUUGAACCAAAAGCUGCUUUUCUAUCAAAGUGAAAAUUUUCACAGAAAAAUGUGGCAAUGAAAUUUUUCAUGCUUUCAUGAAAAUAAAAGUGGCUUGUUUUUGUAAAAUUUGGCAUCAAAAGUUGUUAAACAACAUAUGUUUUAGAAGAAGAACUGUAAUAAUAUUAAAUCAGUUUAGUUUGGCUUUGCUAACUUUUUAAUCAACUGCCAGAGCUUUUCCUGACCCAGUCUGUUAGAAUCUCCUGAUAAUUUCUGUAGGUUGUUUAAAACUUGAAUGUAAAAUGCUUUCUGCUGCUGUAGGGCUGAUUGAGAAGGAGAAGUUUAAUCCCUCUGCUGUGUUGUUUAACUAACAGAAGUUCCAUGCCAUUAUACGUUAUUAAACCCAUAAUUUAAACCUGUGCUCCAAAAGCAUUUUGUGAAAACAUGGGUUCCCAUCAGCAUCCAGCUGCUUAAGAGCUGAGUAUCUAUUUUACAGUUAUGACUCAACAGGGUGGAAGACAAGAGCAGCACCUGUCAACACGUGUAUGCCGAAAGCUGUCCCAAAAAUACAAAAAUAGAGAUAACAGUGGAAUUAGAUAUCCACUGUGCUGAGGAGCCUAGCAACACAUAGCAAAGGUGUCUGCUCCAAAGAUUUUUCCACUAUGAUAUAAUCCAAAACCACUGCAUCACCACGAAAUAAAGAGGCUCUGCAAUGGAAGGCAGAGAUAAUAAGACCUUACAGGUCUUAUAACACAAAAUACUUACAUGCCUGGUUUCACAGGCUUAUGUUUAAAAAGUGAAAAAUACAUAAGGAACAAGGGACAUUAAAUAUGUCAGGAUCCCUACUGGCUACCUGCCUAAAUGUUAGUCAGAGUGCUUGUUAAUGCAGUCUAAAUUCAAAGAGAUGCAAAAAGCUGCUUGAAAUCAGAGUUCAAACAAAUGCAAGGCAAAAGGAUUUUCUACAGACUCCCUUUCCUUUUUCCCAGGGACUCUGGUCCUUGGGUCUGUCCAAAUUUAGAAUACAAAAAAAGCAAUAAUUUUUUUAAUUUUUUUUUUUAAUGUGUGUGUAUUUCCUGGCUUCUGUCCCUCAUGGAGCAAUUAGCUUCAUCUGUGUGCCCUGAUACAGUUUCCUAUGGCAGAUCUCCACAGCAAUCUCUGCAGUAGGUCAGACAUCUGCUGAAGUCACUUGCUUCCAUGAUUUCAUUUAACCGUUUUCUUUGCUGCAUGACAAGGACAUACAGCUGAGCACCAAGAGGACUGAGAAGCACUGAUGUUAAUUCCAUCCAGAACAAUUCUUUGUAGAGCCUCAGAGGUGAUAUUUUAAUCCUCUGAGCCUCAUUUACUAGAUAUGCCACAUGGCAAUUCCUAUUUUCAGUUUGAAGGUAGCAUUUGGGAUCAGCAGCUCUUUUAGCCUUCUGCCUUCCCCCCCUCUGUCAGCCUCCUCUGUCAGCAGCAUGUGCCCUGCUGGAUCCCCCCUAUGCUCCUGUGAAGCAUGUUGAAAGUAUCUCUGCCUGUGUGCUACAUUUCUGCUUUUCACAUCUUUUCUCUCUUUUCUUUUCUUUUUAAAUGAAAUUUUGCCUAGCCAGUGGCAGCUGUUGGAUCUUUAAUUGGCAGCGGAAUACCUCUCAAAUAACAAGACUGUGUCACAUAGAAAAUAUCAAUGUUUCCAUAAUAUUGUGACUUGGCAACCAGUAUAUUAACUUGGGAGGCUUUGUGACAUCAGGUGCUACAAAUCAUCCCUUUAAUUUUCCUUAAAAAUACAACUCAAGAAAGGAGAUUUUUUCAAUCACAAAGCUACACAUUUCAUUAGUAUUCUCAUUACAGUUCAUACCACUUAUUUAUGGAGUGCUCACGAGUGUGAUAAAUGCUAUAUGGCUCUGCAGACCUUAGGAGCAAGCUUUACAUAUAACAAGGCAAGUGAGACCUGAACAAUAGGUGAACAAGUCAAUUUCUUUUUGUAUUAAUUGGAUCUGCAAGGAAAACUGAAGAAGGGAAAAAAAUCCCUCUGCUAUUCAAGUAUCUCUAAAACUUCCACCGACUUUAAUGGCAUUAGAAUUGAGGCUUUAAAGACAGCCUUGUUCUCUUUGAGAAGCAAUGACAAUAAUUUCUCACUAAGACUCUGUAAAACCUCCUGCUUAUUUUUCCUUUCUGUACCUUUUCUAGUAAGAUCUCUGUGUCAGCUUCCCAAGUGUGCCUAGUGGGGAAAGUCUGAUUUUCACUUUCAGUGGAUUGCUGAUGCCUAACUAACAAUAAUAAAAGCAGUUUGUGUCCCUGAACCCUCUCAGGAGCGUUGCAGCCUGAAUUGGGUGUUAUGCAUUGCAGCUCGGCCUUUUGAAAGCGUCCACGGAAACAGAGCACAGAGC